rnacentral:rRNA from 1 species
ACCCGCCGAACUUAAGCAUAUCACUAGGUG